rnacentral:rRNA from 1 species
UACGUAGGCAGCAAGCGUUGUUCGGAGUUACUGGGCGUAAAGGGUGCGUAGGUGGCUCUAUAAGUAUGGUGUGAAAUCUCCCGGCUUAACUGGGAGGGUGCGCCGUAGACUGUGGGGCUAGAGUGUGGGAGAGGAAAGUGGAAUUCCUGGUGUAGCGGUGAAAUGCGUAGAUAUCAGGAGGAACACCGGUGGUGUAAACGGCUU